CAUUAUUGUCACCGAUGUCCCACUGGGUGUGAGUUUUCCUUGCCCUUAUGUGGGCCUACCGAGGAUGUCGUAGUGGUUUGUGCAGCCUUUUGAGACACUAGUGAUUUAGGGCUAUAUAAGUAAACAUUGAUUGAUUGAUAUGAAGUCAGACUCACACUUUGGUCCCAUUAUCAAGCAUUCAAUCAUGUUGAAAUUAAUAAGGGGGCAGUCCAUGGGCACACUACUUACUAAGAAGGGUACCUGUUAUGUUUGGGUCUCUAUUAUCGGGGUGACUCACAUUCACUACCACCCACCUGCCAUACGGCAAGGGCUCCCCAUUCACUACGAGCACACUUAGAGGCUUACGCCCGAUGAGAUCUGCUAAUGGCCGUGGCUUACGGUCGGGAAGGUCAGUUUCUACCUACUUACGAUCAAGAAGACUCACUUGAGCACCUGUGUCAAGCAAACAUUCAACUGGAAAAUUGUUAAUGUUGCACUUGACCCUGCAUUUCUUCCCUACUAACUGGACCACUUGUUCCCGCACCUCAGUUUUUUUUGGACUGAAGAGAGUGUGAUGGGACACAAGUAGGGGAUUAUAUAUGUUUCAUUGCCAUGCAAGUUGUAUAGUGUUUUAUUGCUGUGGAUUUUACAUUGCAUGUUUUUUUAAAUUUUAGAAUUUGAUUGUAUUUGACAGAAUUUCUAGGCGCAGUCAAGGCGUUGAGGGGUUCCGGUUUGGUAACCGCAGGAUUAGGUCUCUGCUUUUUGCAGAUGAUGUGGUCCUGAUGGCUUCAUCUGACCGGGAUCUUCAGCUCUCGCUGGAUCGGUUCGCAGCCGAGUGUGAAGCGACUGGAAUGAGAAUCAGCACCUCCAAGUCCAAGUCCAUGGUUCUCGCCCAGAAAAGGGUGGAAUGCCAUCUCCGGGUUGGGGAGGAGACCCUGCCCCAAGUGGAGGAGUUCAAGUACCUAGGAGUCUUGUUCACGAGUGAGGGAAGAGUGGAUCGUGAGAUCGACAGGCGGAUCUGUGCGGCGUCUUCAGUAAUGCGGACGUUGUACCGAUCCGUUGUGGUGAAGAAGGAGCUGAGCCGGAAGGCAAAGCUCUCAAUUUACCGGUCGAUCUACGUUCCCAUCCUCACCUAUGGUCAUGAGCUUUGGGUCAUGACCGAAAGGAUAAGAUCACGGGUACAAGCGGCCGAAAUGAGUUUCCUCCGCCGUGUGGCGGGGCUCUCCCUUAGAGAUAGGGUGAGAAGCUCUGCCAUCCGGGAGGAGUUCAAAGUAAAGCCGCUGCUCCUUCACAUCGAGAGGAGCCAGAUGAGGUGGUUCGGGCAUCUGGUCAGGAUGCCACCCGAACGCCUCCCUAGGGAGGUGUUUAGGGCACGUCCAACCGGUAGGAGGCCACGGGGAAGACCCAGGACACGUUGGGAAGACUAUGUCUCCCGGCUGGCCUGGGAACGCCUCGGGAUCCCCCGGGAAGAGCUAGACGAAGUGGCUGGGGAGAGGGAAGUCUGGGUUUCCCUGCUUAGGCUGUUGCCCCCGCGACCCGACCUCAGAUAAGCGGAGGAUGAUGGAUGGAUGGAUGGAAUUUGAUUGUUUUUUAAUUGCACGUUUUUACAUUUUAGGAUUUGAUUAUAGUUUUAAUUGCAUGUUUUUAUACUUUGGAAUUUGAUUGUUUUUAAUUGUAUGUUUUUACUCCUUGUGGACUUUGCUGGUAUCUUAAGACAUUGCCCCUUUUAGCUGGUUGCCCAUAACAACCACAGUGCCCAAUCCAAUGGCACGGGAAAUUGGACACACCUGUGGAGCAUUAAGACUGUGCACAUUGAUUGAUUUAAAAGGAGCAACAAGAGGAAGAAGAGGGGACAGGUUCGAGAGGAGGGUCUACAGAGUAAAACGGCAGGAUUCGGCAGGUUCUGGCCGGAACGGGGAAGAAUCUGCAGGCUUUGACGAGAGGGACCGGGUAGACGCACGCAGGCUGGGAAGGAACCCCCGGACCACACAGUAGACCCCGCAGGCAACCGGAACGAACCCCAAGACGUCCACAACAGGCAAGGGAGGAGGAAACUCUGCCGCCCAUGCUCGUGCGUCGUGCGCCGGCUGUGUGGUUCUGUAGUCAGGGUGAUUUGGACCCAGGGACCUGCGGCGACCCCCGGAGCGACCAGGAGGCGGAGCGGCACGGGUACGGCCACGUGGGUCCUGCGAGUGACCGGAGAGUGGUCGUACCCAAUACGUUGACGCGGAACUAGAGCAAAGGCAGGGGAAACACUGCCUUGCGUGAAGACACCGUGGAAGUGGGCGGAGCCAAGAGACGGAACCCCACGCCUGUCGUGACUGGUUUUAAUUGUAUUUUAUUAAAUUGUGAAUCAGAAUAUUCAUCUUUCCUUAUUUUGGGACGGCUGCUCUCACUACAUUGGGUUCUUAAUAGUUAUAUUGGUUUUAAGCAACAAUUUUAUUGGUUUUUAAUAUUUUUCUACUCGGGACCAUUACAAGAGGACAUUCCAAUGUUUCUUACAUGUACUGGUGGCUUCACCUCUGUAGGGCUCCAGGGGCUGCUGUUCAUUAUGGUGUGGACAUCAGCAGGGGGUUGGUUGGCUCUCUGGACACGAGGCCUCUUGAGACAGCCAACAGCUCUGUGCCUGACCUCCCCACAUAGAAAACAAUGGUUACAUGGGCUUGUGCCUUGUCAAAC